rnacentral:rRNA from 1 species
AGAAUCAACGCUGGCGGCGUGCCUAACACAUGCAAGUCGAACGAGAAAGUGGAGCAAUCCAUUAGUAAAGUGGCGCACGGGUGAGUAACACGUGACUAACCUACCCUUGAGUGGGGGAUAACCUAGAGAAAUCUGGGCUAAUACCGCAUAAUACCUUCGGGUCAAAGGAGUAAUUCGCUCAAGGAGGGGUCGCGGCUGAUUAGCUAGUUGGUGAGGUAACGGCCCACCAAGGCUAAGAUCAGUA